AGCAUAUCAAUAAGCGGAGGAAAAGAAACUAACAAGGAUUCCCCUAGUAACUGCGAGUGAAGCGGGAAAAGCUCAAAUUUUGAAUCUGGCAGUCUUAACUGGCUGUCCGAAUUGUAAUCUAGAGAAGCGUCUUCCGCGCUGGACCAUGUACAAGUCUCCUGGAAGGGAGCGUCAUAGAGGGUGAGAAUCCCGUCUUUGACAUGGACUACCAGGGCUUAUGUGUUGCGCUCUCGACGAGUCGAGUUGUUUGGGAAUGCAGCUCAAAAUGGGUGGUAAAUUCCAUCUAAAGCUAAAUACUGGCAAGAGACCGAUAGUGAACAAGUACCGUGAGGGAAAGAUCAAAAGAACUUUGAAAAGAGAGUUAAACAGUACGUGAAAUCGCUGAAAGGGAAACGCUUGAUGUCACUCGCGUUAGCUAGGGGUCAACCUUGCUUCAUUGCUCGGCGUAAUUCCUAGUUGACGGGUCAGCAUCAGUUUCGGUCGUCGUACAUGGGCAAAUGGAAAGUAGCCAUUUCUAUGGUGUUAUAGACUUUUGUCGGUUGCGCACGGUUGGGACUGAGGAGAGCUCUGCAUGGUUAAUUCCGUGCAAGAGAUGCUGGCAAAAUGGCCUUAAGCGACCCGUCUUGA
rnacentral:rRNA from 1 species